GCAGACACAUUCCAGCCAAUCAGCAGCAGACCCUCCCUCCCAGACCCUCCCACCUCCUGGACAGCUCACUAAGAAUGCAGCUUCAAAAUGGAUGCUGUCCAGGAGGUGGGAGGGUGUGGGAGGGAGGGUCUGCUGCUGAUUGGCUGGAAUGUGUCUG